AGAGUUUGAUCCUGGCUCAGGAUGAACGCUAGCGGCAGGCUUAACACAUGCAAGUCGAGGGGCAGCAUAAUGGAUAGCAAUAUCUAUGGUGGCGACCGGCGCACGGGUGCGUAACGCGUAUGCAACCUACCUUUAACAGGGGGAUAACACUGAGAAAUUGGUACUAAUACCCCAUAAUAUCAUAGAAGGCAUCUUUUAUGGUUGAAAAUUCCGAUGGUUAGAGAUGGGCAUGCGUUGUAUUAGCUAGUUGGUGGGGUAACGGCUCACCAAGGCGACGAUACAUAGGGGGACUGAGAGGUUAACCCCCCACACUGGUACUGAGACACGGACCAGACUCCUACGGGAGGCAGCAGUGAGGAAUAUUGGUCAAUGGACGCAAGUCUGAACCAGCCAUGCCGCGUGCAGGAUGACGGCUCUAUGAGUUGUAAACUGCUUUUGUACGAGGGUAAACUCACCUACGUGUAGGUGACUGAAAGUAUCGUACGAAUAAGGAUCGGCUAACUCCGUGCCAGCAGCCGCGGUAAUACGGAGGAUUCAAGCGUUAUCCGGAUUUAUUGGGUUUAAAGGGUGCGUAGGCGGUUUGAUAAGUUAGAGGUGAAAUCCCGGGGCUUAACUCCGGAACUGCCUCUAAUACUGUUAGACUAGAGAGUAGUUGCGGUAGGCGGAAUGUAUGGUGUAGCGGUGAAAUGCUUAGAGAUCAUACAGAACACCGAUUGCGAAGGCAGCUUACCAAACUAUAUCUGACGUUGAGGCACGAAAGCGUGGGGAGCAAACAGGAUUAGAUACCCUGGUAGUCCACGCAGUAAACGAUGAUAACUCGUUGUCGGCGAUACACAGUCGGUGACUAAGCGAAAGCGAUAAGUUAUCCACCUGGGGAGUACGUUCGCAAGAAUGAAACUCAAAGGAAUUGACGGGGGCCCGCACAAGCGGAGGAACAUGUG
rnacentral:rRNA from 1 species